UCCCUGGUGGUUCAGGGGUUAGGACACAGCGCUUUCACUGCAGUGGCCUGGGUUCAAUCCCUGGUCUGGGAA
rnacentral:tRNA from 1 species